UAGCCAUGCUAGUCGGCACGAAGUUAGAACUCCGUGGCAAAAUAGCUCAGUAACAACGUGGCAAGCUCCCCUUCAGACAGAAUAACCUCGGGAAACUGAGGCUAAGACUGGAUACGGUAUGUACGCUGGAAUGCAGCAUACUCCAAACGCUCCGGCGCCGAAGGACGUGCUGCGGCCGAUUAGGUAGACGGUGGGGUAAUGGCCCACCGUGCCAAUAAUCGGUACGGGUGGUGAGAGCCAGAACCCGGAGACGGAAUCUGAGACAAGAUUCCGGGCCCUACGGGGCGCAGCAGGCGCGAAACCUUUACACUGCACGCCAGUGCGAUAGGGGGAUCCCAAGUGCACAGGCAUAGUGCCUGUGCUUUUCGGUACCCUAAGGCGGUACCAGAAUAAGGGCUGGGCAAGACCGGUGCCAGCCGCCGCGGUAAUACCGGCAGCCCGAGUGAUGGCCGAUUUUAUUUGGCCUAAAGCGUCCGUAGCUGGCCACGCAAGUCCAUCGGAAAAUCCACCCGCUCAACGGGUGGGCGACCGGUGGAAACUGCGUGGCUUGGGACCGGAAGGCGCGACGGGUACGUCCGGGGUAGGAGUGAAAUCCCGUAAUCCCGAACGGACCGCCGAUGGCGAAAGCACGUCGCGAAAACGGAUCCGACAGUGAGGGACGAAAGCCAGGGUCUCGAACCGGAUUAGAUACCCGGGUAGUCCUGGCCGUAAACAAUGUCUGCUAGGUGUGGCUCCCGCUACGAGCGGGUGCUGUGCCGCAGGGAAGCCGCUAAGCAGACCGCCUGGGAAGUACGUCCGCAAGGAUGAAACUUAAAGGAAUUGGCGGGGGAGCAC
rnacentral:rRNA from 1 species